GAGCAAUGAAGAAAAUUAAAGUGAUAAAGGGUCUCUUUCACAGCCGUCUGAUCUCGAUCGGAUGAUUCAAAUCACAUCUGAGCUC